UGGAUAGCUGUUAUCUGCUUUGGCUGUACCUUUUUAACCUCCUAUGAAAAAACAUGCCAUUUUCCUUCUGUUGGUUUUCUCCUCUCAAUUUUUUCUCUUUCUCCUUCUCUUCUUCUUCUAUUCUUCCUUUCUUCCCUCCGAUUAUUCAACUGAAUUCGCAGAUAAUAUCAGUUUUCCAGUUCAAGGUUGAGUACCAAAAGCUUGGGUAUACAAGCUUGUCCCUUUCAAAACAGAUUCCAGUCAGGCCAUAUAGACACAAUGAAUAUGAAAGAUUCAUACCAACUGCUGAUCCCUACUAUGGAUCUAAGGGGGGCGCGGAGUGAUCAUCCCUUUAAGUCAGUAGUAUUGCAAAUGAAAGACAAAUCAUGUCUUUUUCUUAAAAUGAAAAAGAAAAAGUAGUAAUUUAUUAUCUGAGUCCCAAAUCCUUAAGAUGAGUAAAAUGCUUGUAUAUUUAGUAGUUGUUCAAUGCAGGCACAGGCAAAAUUGAACAAUAUUUUUACAACUAGCCUGAUUUUAGUGAUCUAAUUAUGGUUUUAGACCCUUUAUUAUGUUGAAAUUUGGGAUUCAGUUUUUUUAAUUUUAUUUGGCAUAAUUUAGUCUUUUUACUUUUAUAAUAUUUUUGGUUGACAAUAUUUUUGGUAGGUUCAAAUGGCUAAUAGUACAUCAUUUAAAAAAGAAAACCUAUUGAACACUAUUUAUUGGAUUUUUUAAGAAAAUAGGCAUGUUUAUCAAUUUGAAUUUACUAAAUGGUGUACUCUUAACGUUUUGGCCAACUAUUGGUAUAAGAAUUGGUAUUUACUGGUUUUGAACUACAGGUUUUCUCUCUAUGUCUCUGUUCUCUAUAGUUUAAAAAGAUUUCGACUUGUUAAUAAAUUGUUAAUAGAUGAUUAGAACCGAAUUUCAAUUUAAUAUAUUUAGUUUUAAAAAACUUUUCAUUUUUCUUAUUUUUGGCAUAUAAGAGAAUUUUUUUAUGUAAUAACUUCUGUGAAGCUAACAUUAUAUCCUACUAAUGGUGGUUUUUUAUGCAAACCACACACCAUCCACUCCGAGGUGGCGUAGUGCUUGCCGCUUCCUUCGUCGCCUGUUUCCUGUGGUGCUUCGGAUCUGGGCUUUGGCUAUUUGACGACCCGGCUGUUGAGCUUCUAGGUCUUUAAACCGACCUCAAAUUAAAGCUCAGGCUAGUUGAAUUGCUGAUCUACUUCACUAAACUAACGUUUCAUAUCUGAAUCUUAGGGAUGAGGCAGAUUCAGUUUCGCAUGACCAUUUGGAGCCCUUGGAACUUCAUGCACAAGUUCUCUAAUACAACCCUGCAACAUUUGAGUAUGUUACCCCUGAUAUGUGGGCUGUUGGUGCUAUAUUAGCGAAGCCUUUUACUUCAUCUCCUAUGUUUCUUGGUGAAAGGAUUGGUCAUUACACAAUCCCUAAAGAGAUGAAUGAAGUCGGCAAUUGGCUUACAGCAAGGUUGGGGCUCGAGGGAUAACGCUAAAUAUAGCCAAGAGUCGAGAAGCAAUAAAGGUGAAAAGAGAAAAAACUGCAUAUGUUACAAUUAGGUAGUAAACAAAAUGGAUUGUUAGGGUAUAUGGUAUACUUGGAUCUGGAUAUAUUUCACUACUUGGGGCUACUUUUGUAGAAAUAAGAGAUCAACAGAGUUUCUUGGAAUUAAAGUUGCAGUUUCAAACUGUAUUAGCUUUUUUGUAGUACAACAUCAAUAUCAAUGUCCGUCGCCUUAGGUGUUUUUUUAUUUGUUUACUUUUUUACAUUGAGUUGAAUGUUAGUGGUAUACAUUUCAGCUAAA